UACGGAAGGCAGCAGUGGGGAAUAUUGCACAAUGGGCGCAAGCCUGAUGCAGCCAUGCCGCGUGUAUGAAAAAGGCCUUCGGGUUGUAAAGUACUUUCAGUCGUGAGGAAGGUGUUAAGGUUAAUAACCUUAGCAAUUGACGUUAGCGACAGAAGAAGCACCGGCUAACUCCGUGCCAGCAGCCGCGGUAAUACGGAGGGUGCGAGCGUUAAUCGGAAUUACUGGGCGUAAAGGGCACGCAGGCGGUUAAUUAAGUUGGAUGUGAAAUCCCCGGGCUUAACCUGGGAAUGGCAUUCAAGACUGGUUAGCUAGAGUCUUGUAGAGGGGGUAGAAUUCCAUGUGUAGCGGUGAAAUGCGUAGAGAUGUGGAGGAAUACCGGUGGCGAAGGCGGCCCCUGGACAAAGACUGACGCUCAUGUGCGAAAGCGUGGGGAGCAAACGAGGGA
rnacentral:rRNA from 1 species